rnacentral:lncRNA from 1 species
CCGCACCACGUGGGCCAGGCGCCCCACGCCUGGAGCUCCCCUCUCUGGAGCCCCGGGAAAGGAAGCGGGGCAGGGAGGCCGGGUGGGAGCAGGGGGGUCUCCGGCGCUUCCUCUCCUCUGCGGGCGCCGCGCGGCUCCUGAGAGUCCGCCCCCCGUCCUGACGCUCAGCUAGGAAGCGGGUCCUCGGGCCCCUCCCCCGACACACACACACACACACACACACACACACACACACACACACACUCUCUCUCUCUCUCUCUCUCUCUCUCUCUCUCUCUCUCUCUCUCACACACACACACACACACACAGCCCGUCUCGCGCCUGAGGUCUCGCCCGCAGGCCGGUGGCGCGGGGUCAGCUGCUGCCUGCGGUCCAGGACAGGGUCGGUUCCGCCGCGCAGCGCCCAGGCCCAGCUCGUCCAGAGUCUGCGGACAGCGCACGUCCAGGUAACGCGCUUCAAGGGGCCGCGGCUCGGAGCUGGGGGACCCCGGGCCGCCCUGCCCAUACGAGUGCGAGCGUGGAGAGCGCGGGCGGGGGCGCGGUCCCGGGGGCCGGCCAGCUGGAGGGGGCGGGAGCGCUGGGCGGGGCCUGCGCUGACCCCGGCGCUGAGUCCCUGGGGCCGCCGGGCGGAUGGCGUGGCCGGACGCGGGGGCCCCGGGCCUUCCGGGCGUGACCUAGGGCUCGGGGGCGGGGAGGCCCCUCCGGCGGGGCGGCCCUGGGUGGUCCGGCAGAGGCGGAGGCCGCUCCGAGCCUGUGAGCCCUGGGCGCCUGCGGAGGCGGGGAGAGGGCGGGGUGUGCCGCCCUGGUGGGGACCGCGGGGUCGGAGAGGGGACAUUGCCCCCCCCGAGGCGAACGUCCAACCGCGGGUCCGGGUCCCCGCCCAAGGCCGCCCCGCGAGGUGGCCUCGGCCCGGCCGUCCCCGAGGGUGGCUCGGAUCCUUUCAACCAGCGCGCUGGAGGCGAAGGGGCUGCGCCAUUCCGGGUCAGGCAGCCAACGCGGGACACGCGCGUCUCCGAGCUUGCGGCCCGCGAAACCCGGGUGACCUACCGCGCCGGUGCCCUCAAAGCCCCCACGCCCGGGCCGGUGGCCGCUGCAGCCACUGAGCCACGCGGUCUCCCCGGCCCGGUCGGCAGAAGGAGCUGGUCCGUUACUAGAAAAGUCCAGAUGCAAAGUCGGGGGUCGUGCUGCCGCUUCCUGCCAGCGCACCGCACCCACCUGGGGCCGCCACCGACCGCACAGGACGCGCCUCCUACCCCCUGUUCUGGCCCGGCCGAGAGCUGGUGCCCCCAGCGGCCGCCCGCCCCCGUCCGCAGACCCCGGGGCCCUUGCUGCUUUGCAUUGGGAACAACCGGAGCCAGGCCCGGAGCUGAGGGGGCCAGGGCCUUUGGAGGAAGCAUUGGCCUCCAGGCUGAAGAGCAAGGGCCGUGUCACCUGCCCGGAGGGCGGUCUCAUCUCUGCAGCCAGGUCAGAGGAAGCAGCGGUGGGGAGACGGAGUGCGCGAGUUGGGAGGCUCCACGCAUCGUAGGUGGAGAGCUGGCUGCCAGCCUGGCCUGCCCUCUCUUCCCCGUCCCACCAUCUCGCUUGGCUCCGGCACCUGCCUGGGAAGACCCACACCUCCGUCUGCAGUGCCUCUUCCCCCUGGAGGCCCUGCCCUCCGCUCGGGGUCCCCGCAUCCUUCCGUGGCCCUCAGAGCAUCGCCUGGGGCGCCCGCGGAACUCAUCUGUUAGGCCUGGGAUGCAGGCAGGCAGAAGUGGGGGUUUAAGUGGAAGCAGUGAGGGUGGGGGUCCGGUCCAAACUGUGCCACCUUCCACCCCCUGCCCCUGGGAGAGCAGACAUCGCCCACUCGGGCUCACAGUGCCAUCCGGGUGAGGACCUCCGUGGAGAGCUCUCUUUGCCAAAGAAAAGCAGUUGCAUUAGGUCUGCGAGCAGGCAGGGUGGCCUCUUCCUGGCUCCCCAUCCACCAAGGAAGCUUCAAGUCCCUGGGACACAGGUGGGGAACUCCAGCACCCCUGGAGGAAGGGAGACUGAGGUUGGGGAGUGGCAUCCAGGCCCUGACUCUGGGGCACGGUGGUCUGUGCAACUGAGACCCUGCCUCAGGCUCCAACAGCGCCUGCUCCUUUCCCCAGGUUGCAGUGAUCACCAGGGGAGGUGCUGGGCGUGCAGGCUGCCACAGGAGGGGUGGGGAGGUGGGGAGUCUCUGUGGCGGGGUGGUGGGGGCCUAGGCCAGUCAGCUGAGGACGUGUUGGUGCACUCCCGGGAGGGCGGUAUGUGGGUGAGGAUCCCCAUGCAGAGUGGUGCCCACAAACCCCCCUUCCAGAGUCAUCUCUGGUCCACCUUGAAGUCCCCAGGAAAAUGACCUCGUCCUCCGCGGGUGUGAGCCACUAGGCCUGAGAGGACGCCGGGACGGAGCUUUCAGAGAGGGAGGUGUCGGGAUGGCUUGAGGGUCACCAGCCCAGACGUCCUCCUGGUCCUCCUGAUGCCCCCGACCUCCACGGAGGACGAGCAUUUCCAGCCCAGCCCUCCCCAUCUUCACCUCGCACUCCCCUGACACACUGGGAGCCUCCUGAUCCGUGAACCCGCGCUGGCGGGAGUAGCUACUGACCGCUGGGGACCCCUGCCCAGGCUGUUCGCAUGUGGAAAGGAUUCAGGGAGCAGGCGAUGCCCAAAGCGUGGAGACCAGCACUGCUCUCUCCCCAGUGACAGUACAGCUGUGCCGUGUACAGGAGGGUGCUGUCUGACGCCAGACACCUGGACUACAGAUCGCAGCCUGAUUCCUGGUCAUUGCUCCACUGAACCCCAGACCCCAGCCUCGUUCUGGGCCCUCAUCCCCUAGAUCCAGGGACCCCAGCCCCAUUUCAGCCCUUGGGCCCUUGUAGGAUGCGAGGCCCUGGGCCCCAGCCCCCAGCCCAUCCGUGGCCCAGGCACUGGGGGGCUGAGGUCCUCUGAGAAGGGACACAGGGCCUGGGGGGCUCUCUCAGCCCAUCAGCAGGAGAGGACUGACUCCAGAAAAAUCAGCGUUUGUACCCACUCAGGCUGCCAAGACCUGUGUCCGUCCUUCCAAGCUCAACCUUCAGAGUUCAUGAGGCCCCUUGCCCAGAAUGUCCACAGAGUUCAUGAGGCCCCUUGCCCGGAAUGUCCACAUUUGAAACCUCCCAACACCGAGCCCCAUUUCAAGUAUAACCAGGAGGGAAAAUGGUGCUUGAAAUAAGCAUGCCACAAAGGAAAACCUGCUUUCUCGAAAUGGGCCCUGGCCGCCCAGGCCCUGACCUCCCCGGCCAGGAUGGAACGUUCCAGAGACCCAUUAGUGCCAAAGGCAAAUGAAAACACACCCUGUGAAAAUGUC